rnacentral:rRNA from 1 species
GACGAACGCUGGCAGCGUGCUUAACACAUGCAAGUCGAGCGGUAAGGCCCUUUCGGGGGUACACGAGCGGCGAACGGGUGAGUAACACGUGGGUGACCUGCCCUCAGCUCUGGGAUAAGCCUGGGAAACCGGGUCUAAUACUGGAUAUGACUCCAUGACGCAUGUUGUGGGGUGGAAAGCCUUGUGCGGCUGAGGAUGGGCCCGCGGCCUAUCAGCUUGUUGGUGGGGUGAUGGCCUACCAAGGCGACGACGGGUAGCCGGCCUGAGAGGGCGACCGGUCACACUGGGACUGAGACACGGCCCAGACUCCUACGGGAGGCAGCAGUGGGGAAUCUUGCGCAAUGGGCGAAAGCCUGACGCAGCGACGCCGCGUGAGGGAUGACGGCCU